AUGCAAGUCGAGCGGUAAGGCCUUUCGGGGUACACGAGCGGCGAACGGGUGAGUAACACGUGGGUGAUCUGCCCUGCACUUCGGGAUAAGCCUGGGAAACUGGGUCUAAUACCGGAUAUGACCUCCUAUCGCAUGGUGGGUGGUGGAAAGAUUUAUCGGUGCAGGAUGGGCCCGCGGCCUAUCAGCUUGUUGGUGGGGUAAUGGCCUACCAAGGCGACGACGGGUAGCCGACCUGAGAGGGUGACCGGCCACACUGGGACUGAGACACGGCCCAGACUCCUACGGGAGGCAGCAGUGGGGAAUAUUGCACAAUGGGCGAAAGCCUGAUGCAGCGACGCCGCGUGAGGGAUGACGGCCUUCGGGUUGUAAACCUCUUUCAGCAGGGACGAAGCGCAAGUGACGGUACCUGCAGAAGAAGCACCGGCUAACUACGUGCCAGCAGCCGCGGUAAUACGUAGGGUGCAAGCGUUGUCCGGAAUUACUGGGCGUAAAGAGUUCGUAGGCGGUUUGUCGCGUCGUUUGUGAAAACCAGCAGCUCAACUGCUGGCUUGCAGGCGAUACGGGCAGACUUGAGUACUGCAGGGGAGACUGGAAUUCCUGGUGUAGCGGUGAAAUGCGCAGAUAUCAGAGGAACACCGGUGGCGAAGCGGGUCUCUGGGCAGUAACUGACGCUGAGAACGAAAGCGUGGGUAGCGAACAGGAUUAGAUACCCUGGUAGUCCACGCCGUAAACGGUGGCGCUAGUGUGGGUUCCUUCACGAUCGUGCCGUACUAACGCAUAAGCGCCCGCUGGGAGUCCGCCCAAGCUAAACUAAAGAUUACGGGGCCCGCAACGCGACAUUUGUUAAUUCAUCACC
rnacentral:rRNA from 1 species